ensembl:lncRNA
AAGUAUUGAGACCCCUUGACUUAUCCCACAUUUUGUUACAUUACAAAAGCUUAUUCUAAAAUGUAUUUAUUUUAUUUUUUACCCACAGCUGUGCCAUCAGAGUCCCUGGGUUCGCGCCAGUCUCUGUCGUAACCGGCCGCGACCUGGAGGUCCGUGGGGCGACGCACAAUUGGCCUAGCGUCAUCCGGGUUAGGGAAGGGUUGGCUGGCAACGCAAGCCAAUGUUUAUGCCGGCCUGACAACAUUUGACAUGGCAGAUAUCUUUGGACCAGCAGAGGAGGUUUUUGGACACUUCAACAGGUGAAAUUGAAACCCAGCGGUGUAACCCUUCAUGGUUUGACUAAAUGGGUGCCUCGACCUGGACCAAUGGACCGCAAGCCGGUGGUCUACUCUCAGAGCGCUAUCUAGAGAAGGCAGAGCCUACAAGCAGGGCAGAGCU